GUUAAUUUCAGACUCAUCAGCAUGGUGUUUGAACCCAGCAGAGCCCAGUCCUGUGCUCCCUCCAGCCUCAUCUUCAGUCUGGAAUUUGGACAAGAAUAAUGCCAGGCUCAAAGCCGAAUCACUAGGAAGGAGGUCACUGCUGAGAAACCAGAGGUAUGAGAGGCCAAGAAUGGCAUACACGUCUAGACCUCGUGCAACUUCUGUGUCUGGAUCACUCUCAGCCAUCCAGGUGAGAUGAGUGUGCUGUGGUUGCUUCACUCCAGCCCUGAGUUGGAAGUGGAGGAAGUGGGGGAAGUGGAGGAAGCCCUCCACAUGUCUUCUCAACUCUAGAUCUCAAGCUGAAAAGUCAGUGUCACCCAGGUCUUGAUAUUCUCAUCACAGAAGCCAGGAACUCAGGAGAAAUGGAAACCUGUGCAGGCUCUUAAAGCCUCUGUUUGAAAUUUCACAAUGUAACGUAUAUGCCUAUUCCAUUGGACAACACAAGCCACCUUUGCAAGCCCAAAGUCAACAGCAGAGCACUGAAAGGUCAAACAACCUUAAAAAAUGAUGAGAUCUACUGCAACAAUCUGUGAUUUAUUUCACUAUUCUAAAAAAAGUGACACACACCUAUACACCAGACAUUCUCUCCUCCACAGUUGAACAAGCAGCUUCCAGAGUCUACAUUACAGUGAAGAACAUACAUAUUCAGAGGCUCCUUUUGUUCCAAUGUUGGCUCUUCCACCCACAAGAUGUGAGAACUUGGACAAAGUAUUUAAUCUAUCAAAGCCUCCAGAGCUAUCCCCCACAAUUUUUAUAAAAUGGAGACAAAGGUCAUCAUAAUUUUGUGGGAUUGUUAGGAAGAUUAAUGUGUAGUAACUUCAUGUAAGGCAUUAGCAUUUCUGUCUGGCACGUAGAACUCAUUUCACUUAUAGCUUUGGUUUCCCAAGGAUAAAAAUCAGGAUCAAUAAGGGGGAAAGGUACAUGUGGCAGAGCCUGGAGGAUACCAGGUGCGGGCUUCUAAGAGUCUUUUCCCAGUGGGUUUGCAUGAUACACCUUCAAUCCUCCAGCAAUGAACUGCAGCAAUGCAUAUGAAGUGUUUUCUGUCAGGGAAUGUCGUCUGAGCCUACAAGUUCACGUUUUUACUGGAGUUUGUCAUGCAGUAACAUGUGCCUCCAUCCCUCCGUACCUCCAUGACUUAGCACAGCUAUUAAAAUUCCAAACCCGGGCAGCCCUGGUGGCCCAGCGGUUUAGCACUGCCUUCAGCCCAGGAUGUGAUCCUGGAGACCCGGGAUCAA